rnacentral:rRNA from 1 species
CACGUAGGGCGCAAGCGUUGUCCGGAAUUAUUGGGCGUAAAGAGCUCGUAGGCGGUUUGUCGCGUCUGCCGUGAAAGUCCGGGGCUCAACCUGGGAAUUGCAUUCGAGACUGCAUAGCUAGGAUGCGGAAGAGGGCAGUGGAAUUUCCGGUGUAGCGGUGAAAUGCGUAGAUAUCGGAAGGAACAUCAGUGGCGAAAGCGACUGCCUGGUCCAGCAUCGACGUUCAGGCACGAAAGUGUGGGGAGCAAACAGG